AACCAUAGAAACCUGCGGAGUACCUGCGGAAGGAUCAUUACCGAGUUAUACAACUCAUCAACCCCUGUGAACUUACCUACAACGUUGCUUCGGCGGGAACAGACGGCCCCGUAAAACGGGCCGCCCCCGCCAGAGGACCCCUAACUCUGUUUUUAUAAUGUUUUUCUGAGUAAACAAGCAAAUAAAUUAAAACUUUCAACAAUGGAUCU
rnacentral:misc_RNA from 1 species